rnacentral:lncRNA from 1 species
GAGAGUAGUCUCCUCGUCUUGUUCCAAUUCUCAAAGGGAAUGCUUUCACCUUUUCCCCAUUCAGUAUUAUGUUGGCUGUGGGUUUGUCAUAGAUGGCUUUUAUUACAUUAAGAGAGCCUAGAAAAUAUCACCUAGUGAAUAUCUACUUCCAUGAGGUGGAUAUUGAGGGAGAAACAGAAAAAUCCAAGACAAUCCCUUGUGGAAGAAAAUUCUCCAACCCAAAACUCAACCGAACUCAAAGGGCUGAACAGCGCGUCAAUUAAGACCUGUCAAAUAUAAUCACACGAUCUAAUAGUUUUAAAUACGCAAAAUAAAGA